rnacentral:lncRNA from 1 species
GUAGAACCUGUGCCCCUGUAGGCCUAGAAUUUGAACUUGUCCUCUGUUGGAGCAUAAAAUUUCUGGUCCUCCAACAAGUAAUCUUAUGUCCAUGUUGAGAAGCCGAUCACCGUACUUCGCUUGCCACAAAUGAGAGAGAAGGGAGUACCUGCAAGAGAACACGCAGAUGCCCAAAUCAGUGUUUGUUUAUAAAUAUCAUAGUAGUAUCAGAAUAUCCCUUACCCAAGUCCUGUAGUAAAAUAAGGAGCCAGUCUUCCAUGAUUGGAACCAUUGUUUGAAUUAAUUAUUAGUUUGGUGUUUCUGUUUGCUCUUGAUGCUAUGAAUGAAAUAAAAUUUGUUUAACCUUUUAGCAUAUACUUGUAAUGGGAGUUGUAGGGAGGGACUUGUAGUGGAAGUUCCAUUGUAAGCCAAAUUAAUUACCAAAUUAGUUAGUAGAGUGAGAAUCUGGUUGUAUUUAUUAUAUCAUUAAGAGGUAAAUAGCUUAGUUGAUACACAGUUCUUUACAUGGGCCCGGAUCCACUGCAAUUCUUCUCUUUGAUAAACUUGGUCACGUAUCUCUUGCAUGAGUUUCCCAAUUGACUCAUGUUCCAUACCUAUACAAUUUAUGAAGGUAUGGUAAAAAUACCCAUUUUCUCUUUCGUGGUCAUAGACUCAUAGGCUUUAUCUAAGCAUCAAGCGUCACCAACCAUUGACAAAACCACAUACAAAAUAAAGUAAAUUUAGAUUUUAAUCACAAAAAAAAACUUUUAUUUUUGGAAAAAGUCAAAACUUUUUCAAAAAAGACAGAAAAACCUCUCAACUUUUAAAUCAAAAACAUGCAAAUGUAAAUAAUUCCUUAGAAAAUCCAAAAAUAAAUAAGGGUCAUUUUGUCCAUUCUGGCUUCUUUUAAAAAAUUUCUCUCCUCUGGCCUUUUAAGACACAUGUAUAUAGUAUAAUACAUGGGAGAGGGGUGAGGGGUUGGGGAGUUGGGUGCUGCGGGAUGGUGUUAUAGGGAGAGGUGGUUGUGUGCCACGGCAACAAUUUAAUAGGCUUUUUAAUGGAAUCGAACAACAUGGAACUUGAAGUACGAAUUUGUAGGACUAUUCUUGAUUAAAAAAAGCCUCAACGACGAAAGAUAGUUCGUGAAUAUAAUGGAUGUUUUGUGAUAAAAACCUAGCAUAAUAAGUACAUAAGAGAGGUCACAAGGUCUCAAGGAUCAUGCAUUCAAAAAAAAACUCGAAUUCUAAAUCAUUUAACCACUAAUUUAAUAAUUGUCAUUUUAAUAUUUUCUUUAUAAAGAGAAAAGGUCGUACAUGAAAUGAAAAGAAAAUAAGUCAAAGAACAAAAAAGGUGUUAUAAAAAUAACCUGGAAUAUGUAUGAAUAUUGAGCUGCACGUAAAGUAGAUGAGACACAGCAUUUAACGAGGUUCGGCUAUGCCCACGUCCUCGGAGAGCAGCAGCAGUAACUUUUUCACUAUAUAAAGUAAUAGGGCUACAACUUUAGAGUUUACAAUAUGUGAGGCUCACUGAAUUUUCUCUCUCUUUCCUCUUCUAUCUUUCCUCCUCUUUUUCCUCUUCUUUCCUCUUCUCCUUUUCCUUUCUUCUUUUCUCCUCUCUUUUCUCUUCUCCCCUUUCUUUCUUUUCUCC